rnacentral:lncRNA from 1 species
GACUUGACAAAAUGCCAGAGGAAACUCGAUAGAUCGACAACAACCGGUUCUUACAAGCAGGUGCCACCUGAUUGGCUGCUUUUCAAUUUGCCCAGAAACCAUGGGAUGGUACAAAAGUGGCCGCUUGUGUAUAAAACCUUCUGAUCAGCUAGGGAAUCAGUUCAGUUCUAUUUCUACGCACACUGUAAGUUCAACAGCUCCAAAACCCACAAACAAUGAAGCCAGCUGUUACUGCAGUUAUUUUGCUGUUGACGUUCUCUGCCAUCAUCUCCACAGAGGCUCGACCUAAUGGAAACGGCGUUUGGAAUCCUGUUUUUCGUCAAGCACGGGCCGACGAAUGCGGGCCGGCAAGUGGAUCGUGUGCGCCGGGCUUGUGCUGUUCCCUUUACAACGAAUGCGGAACUUCGGUCGCCCAUUGCAACAUCUCCCUCGGCUGUAAAAUUAAGUGGGGCGAAUGUCACUAAAAGGCGCCUUCAAUUUUCAAAAUCGAGGGAGAAUUGAGUUGAUCCAUUUCGCAAUGUGUACACCCUGCUUCUGCUUCCGCCACGCUCGUUUGAGCCCUUAAUUGUGCUAAUGUCAAGCUGAAAUACCUGUAGCAGUAGAACAUUGUACCUGAAUUUACGACGGUACGAUUUAAAUACUUUAAUUGCCAAAAAAGGAGCAUGUGUGUCAAGCCGGUAUUGUAUUGUACAUGUGUUCAGACUAUAAUAAAUCUUUAUUUGGCUA